rnacentral:rRNA from 1 species
UGGGGAAUUGUUCGCAAUGGGCGCAAGCCUGACGACGCAACGCCGCGUGGAGGACGAAGAUCUUCGGGUCGUAAACUCCUGUCGAGUGGGAAGAACGCUUCGGGGGCGAAUAUCCUCCGGAAUUGACGGUACCACUAAAGGAAGCCCCGGCUAACUCCGUGCCAGCAGCCGCGGUAAUACGGGGGGGGCAAGCGUUGUUCGGAAUUACUGGGCGUAAAGGGCUCGUAGGCGGCCAACUAAGUCGGAUGUGAAAUCCCCAGGCUUAACCUGGGAACUGCAUCCGAUACUGGAUGGCUUGAAUUCGGGAGAGGGAUGCAGAAUUCCAGGUGUAGCGGUGAAAUGCGUAGAUAUCUGGAGGAAUACCGGUGGCGAAGGCGGCAUCCUGGACCGAGAUUGACGCUGAUGAGCGAAAGCUAGGGGAGCAAACGGGAUUAGAUACCCCGGUAGUCCUAGCCCUAAACGAUGAAUGCUUGGUGUGGCGGGUAUCGAUCCCUGCCGUGCCGAAGCUAACGCAUUAAGCAUUCCGCCUGGGGAGUACGGUCGCAAGGCUG